CUUUUGAAUGAAUAAAAUGCACAUUUUUACUCGGAAUUACAAUAAUAUUUAUAUUAUGUAUUAAGUUAUUUGAACUUUGCUUACACUGCAAGACUUGGGCCUAUGUGAUCUUGUUUUAAUUUAUAUAAUAUUAUUAUUCUGAAUAUGUAUGUUAUAUUUACAGUAUUUUCAAACUGUUAAUCAAGUGACAACAUGGCAACUAAGUUUAUGUGUAUAGCUUUGGCACUGAUGCUGAUCUGUAUCAUAAUAAGUCCUGCAGAAGUAGAUAGUUCGAGUUCGGAAUCAAGUGAAAGUCAAUCAGCGAGUGAUUCAUUUGAAUCGGUCGAAACGAUCGAGGAAUUAGGCGAUAAUACUCGGUUAGAUUUUGGGAAGAAAUAGCUGCUCUAAAAGUUCUAAACUCAGUCGCCGGCUUUUACAAGAUAAAGUGCAAUUCAUGCUGUGUACUUGACGAGUGAUUAAGAACGAAACGACUUUUAACUAUCAACAAUGAUUAAUUGGUGGUGGUGAUAAUAUACCUUUAACUGUAAUAAAAUAUUCUG